GACGUAGGAUGCGAGCGUUAUUCGGAUUUAUUGGGCGUAAAGCGUGCGUAGGCGGCUAUUUAAGUCUGGUGUUAAAGCUAGGGGCUCAACCCCUGUGAUGCACUGGAUACUGGGUAGCUUGAGUGCGGUAGGGGAAGGUGGAAUUCCGAGUGUAGCGGUGAAAUGCGUAGAUAUUCGGAAGAACACCGGUGGCGAAGGCGACCUUCUGGGACGGUACUGACGCUGAGACGCGAAAGCGUGGGGAGCGAACAGG
rnacentral:rRNA from 1 species